rnacentral:rRNA from 1 species
UACGGGGGGGGUAAGCGUUGUUCGGAAUUACUGGGCGUAAAGGGCCCGUAGGCGGCCAACUAAGUCAUACGUGAAAUCCCUCAGCUUAACUGGGGAACUGCGUGUGAUACUGGAUGGCUUGGAUUUGGGAGAGGGAUGCGGAAUUCCAGGUGUAGCGGUGAAAUGCGUAGAUAUCUGGAGGAACACCGGUGGCGAAGGCGGCAUCCUGGACCAAUAUUGACGCUGAGGAGCGAAAGCCAGGGGAGCAAAACGGGG